UUAACCGGAGAAGAAGACCAAGCGCAAGCUCCGUCGAGCAGCAGAGCAGCACGGCAGGAUGGAGGACAAAGCAAAUCUGAUUGGUGCACUGGUGGAGCUAGCUCCGGCAGUGCUCGCCUCCCACCGGCGGCUGCACUCGCCUCCUCGCAAAGGCGGCCAUGCUCGCCUCCACGGCGGCGGCUGGGCCCCUCGCCUACACGCCGGCGGCCACGCUCAUCUACGUCUGGAGCGAAGUUGACCUUGACUCAACGCCUGCUGCGGCCACGCUAGCCGGCCUCCGGCUGGCGGUCGACCUCGCCUCAAUUCCACUGCCCCGCCAAAUUACCCUGCCAUAUUCCAAAUAAAGCACUACAAGGCCAACCCGUACCCCUAUAAUCGUGGACUUGAUCUAAUCUGCCGUGAGGGUUUGGGAGAGACGAGAGUGUUGCCGUUUACUCAUGGCGCCUGAAGAAAGGACGCCUCCACCGCCGCCGCCGAAUGGUAUUGGCUCCGCCAGCAACCAUGGGACCAGCGACGCCGUUCAUCAUGAAGUGACCGAUGAAGGGGUGGUCGGCGUUUUUGAUGCUCCCGUAGCCAGAUGUUCCUCCAUUGUUUUCAGAGGCUUCAUAGGGUUUAGGUACAUAACCAUUGCCUUUGCUUUCAUAUUAUACAAGAGAAACUUAUACACAGUGCAUUGCUAAUGUAUUGUUUGUACACCUUGUGCAGAAGUUGAGCAGCAGGAACUCUGAAAAUUGUGGGAAACAAAGGACCAAGCAUUGCUCUGGAUCCAAACCAUUUUCCAAAAUUAGCAAUGAGCAGAGAGACCCGCUAACAGGUGAAGAGCCAACUGAUUUAGAUCUUUGAUUGAGUACUCACUGCAAGAAUGGAGAAUGGUCAGACAAAGCAUCUAAGGCUGUAUAUGAUAAUGCUUGCGAAAUUAUUUCAGCGAGAGAAACCAACAACCCUGAAGGGUUUUUGAUUUCAGGAGAAGAAACAAAUAUUGUUUUCCAGAAAACCCAUAAAGAAAGUACAGGAUCCAAAAGAUCCAAACCUCGUGGCCAUGGGUACUUGUCAAAAUAUCCAACACAGUCAACAGCUAAAUACUAAAAUCCAAGAACAAGCUCGUGCUACAGCUGAAGCCAACCAGAAAAAUAUUAAGCUCCAAGGUGAGGUUGAUGAUUUAAAAGAACAGCUUGCAGAAAAAGAGAGGCUAUUCCAAGAAAAAAUGAAAGAGCUUCAGGAUGAUGAGGAAAAGAAAAGGGAAGAACUCAGGGCAGAGUUGCUAGCAGCACUUGCAGAUCAUAGGCAAGCAACAGUACCUAAGGCAAACCCACAAUACGUCAUCACAAGUGAUGUUGUAGAUACUCCAGCUCUGGAGAACAAUGGCCAAAAAAGUCGAAAAUCUAAUGUUAACCAAAGUCUUUUUCAGACCAGCAAAGCCAAUGGGCCUGCAGGGACUUACAUUUCUACACAACAACUGAUGAAUGUAGCCACAAGACGUGCACGAACAAGGAGCCAACAGCAGGACCAUAUGACUUGAAUGGAUCACUGGGACUCGAAGUAAUGCUAUAUCCAAGACAAGGAUUUAUGCAAUGUCAAACAAGUUAUGCCUAAGUUAUAAACUAAAAAGUUUUUGUUUCAUUUAUCCGGUGACAUUUCUUGUAUUUUUUCGGUCAUCUUGACAUGAUGAAUGUACAUUCUAUUUGGAAUGACUGCACUAUUAAUGGUGCUUUGUUAAUUUAAAUUCACGC